UUUUUUUUUUUUCCAAGUACUUUUUUUCUCUCCCUUCCUUCCUUCCUUCCUCCCUCCCUCCUUCUCUCUCUUUCUUUCUUUCUUUCUUUCUCCUUCCUUCUUUCCUUCCUUCCUUCUUUCUCUUCCUUCCUUCCUCCCUCCUUCCUUCCUCCCUUCCUUUCUCUCCCUCCCUCUCUCUCUCUCUGUCUUUUUAGGGUUGCACUCACAGCAUAUGGAAGUUUCGAGGCUAGGGUUCAAAUCUGAGCUGCAGCCACCAGCCUAUGCCACAGUCACUGCAAUGCCAGAUCCAAGUCUCAGCUUUGAUCUAUGCAGCAGCUUGUGGCAACGCUGGAUCCUUAACCCACUGAGCAAACUCAGGGAUCAAACCCGCAUCCUCAUGGAUACUAGUUGGGUUCUUAAUCCACUGAGCCACACGGGGAACUCUUUAAGAACUUUCUAAAUGUCACUGCUCCUACCUCACUCUUUUUGUCUCGAAUAGCGAACUUUAGAAUAAUGCAAAAUGACCCCUGGGUGCCUGAACGGUCAGGCGGGUUGCGGCCACCACCUUAGCCAGAGUCAUCAUUCAUGCAGGUCAAAGUUUUAAGUCACUAGAAGGAGAGACAUUCCAGGGUAAAAAGGAGAGAGUCCCGGCCAGGACAGGUGAGCCUGGAGUGGAAGGAAGCUCCGGACAGAAACACUUAAUAACUAGCUUGCUGUGGUGGGACCCAGGAGGCGCUGCAGGGGUUUGUCCUCAGGAAAGAAGGCAGUUCCAGAAAGAAGAAGGGGAGCAAGGCAGGGAGAAGCCACAUCAUAGCAGGCUUUCCAGAUAAACCAUGAGCCUAUGAAUACAACUUCCCAGGGCGGAUGAUCACCAGCAUCUGAAGCCAUGAAGUGAUCAGUUUCCCAGGAGCUUGUGCUCAAGUCUCUCCCUCUCUCUUUUUUUUUUUUUUUUUUUUUUUUUUGAUCUUUUUAAGGCCACAUCCACGACAUAUGGAGGUUCCCAGGUUAGGGGUCGAAUCAGAGCUACAGCGGCCAGCCUACGACACAGCCACACCAAUGCAGGAUCCGAGCUGCAUCUGCAACUUAUAUCACAGCUCAUGGCAACACCGGAUUCUUAACACACUGAGCGGGACCAGGAUUCAAACCUAUAUCCUCAUGAUACUAGUCAGGUUUGUUAUCACUGAGCCACAAUGGGAACUCCUCAAGUCUCAUUAUUAUUAUUUUGCUUUUCAGGGCCACACCUGUGGCAUAUGCAGGUUCCCAGGCUAGGGGUCAAAUUGGAGCUACAGCUGCUGGCCUACACCACAGCCACAGCAAUGCAGGAUCCGAGCUGCCUCUUUGACCUACACUGAAGCUCACAGCAACGCCGGAUUCUUAACCCACUGAGGCCAGGGAUCAAAACCUGAAACCUCAUCGUUUCUAGUCGGAUUUGUUUCAGCUGCACCUUGACGGGAACUCCUCGAGUCUCAUUAUUAAAAAAGCCAUUCUGGGAGUUCCUUGGUGGCUCAGGGGGUUAACGAUCCAGAAUUGUCACUGCUGUGGCUCUGGUUACUGCUGUGGUGUGGGUUCAGCCUCUGACCCAAAAACUUCCACAUACCACAGGAGUGACCAAAAAUAAAUUUAAAAAAAAAAAAAGGUCAUCCUUACAUUGAACUAAUGGAUACCAAGCCCUCAGUACAAGUCAGUAUCAGGGGUAUUAAGUGCUCUCUAAAUAUGAGACAGUAUUGGAGUUCCUAUUGUGGCCCAGCAGGUUAAGAACCUGACUAGUAUCCAUGAGGAUGUGGGUUUGAUCCUUGGCUUCACUCAGUGGGUUAAGGAUCUAGCAUUGCCACAAGCUACAGCAUAGGUUGCAGAUGCAGUUUGCAUCCCAAGUUGCUGCAACUGUGGCACAGGACUGCAGCUCCAGCUCUGAUUUGACCCCUAAACUGAGAACUUUCAUGUGCCACAGGUGUGGUCCUAAAAAGAAAAAAAAAAAAAAAAAAAAAAAAAACAGCCAUCAUGAUUAUUAUUGAGCAGAAACCUGCCAUUGCCAAAUAUUUAGCCAUCGGCCCAGUGCUAUGUUCAAAACCAAUCUGGCCCAUGUCUGAUCUCCUUGGAUUUUGUUUCCAAAAUAAACAUCUUCCCUGCCUUCCAACAUACCUCAUACUGCAUAGCUUCCAGACACACCACCAUGGUCACCCUCCAUAGACGAUUCGACUUAUUAAUGGCCCUGUAAAACAUUUUAAACAUGGCACCCCAGCUUGACUCUAAUAUCUCAGGUACUAUCUGACCACUCAAGAAUACAGUGGAAAAGUACUUGAAUUCUCUUACCUGUUCAUACACAAACCAUUAUGCUAAGCAUGCAUGAAAUGCUGGAGAUUUGAAGAUAAAUAAAACACAGUAGGCUACUAUUCGCAACUGCCCCCAAUGGGGCUACUUAUCAUACUUGAAUGGAUCAAUAAAUCAUGGUCAAUUCACACAAUAGAAUAUUAUAUGGCAAUGAAAAUGAACCAUCUACUACAGUAUGCAACAAUAUGGACGUCUCUCACAGGUGCAAUGACCAAAAACACGGAAACAAAAGAGUACAUAUUUUGGGGGGUCUAUUUUUUUUUUAAUUUGCAAAAAACAGCAAAGCUAAUCAAAAAGCUGCUGUUGAAAGACUGGAUAGUGGUUCCUCUAGGGAGGGAGAUGGAGCAUGUAAGAGAGCACCAGGAGGCUUCUGAGUGCUAUAAUGCUUUAUUUCUUCAUCUGGGGGCUGAUUGCAUGAGUAUGUUCAGCUUGUGAGAACCCUGGGAACUAUACAUUUAUAAUAUGUGCACUUUUCUGCUUGGAUGUUCUAUAUUAAUAAGGCAUUAAGGGUGGGAGUUCCUGUUAUGGCUCAUCAGAAACAAACGUGACUAAUAUCCAUGAGGAAAAGGGUUCGAUCCCUGGCCUCACUCAGUGGGUUAAGGAUCCGGUGUGGCCCUGAGCUGUGGUGUAGGUCGCAGACAAGGCUUGGAUCUGGUGUUGCUCUG
rnacentral:lncRNA from 1 species